UACAGAGGUCUCAAGCGUUGUUCGGAUUCAUUGGGCGUAAAGGGCGCGUAGGCGGCGGGGCAAGUCGGGUGUGAAAUCUCAGGGCUCAACCCUGAAACUGCACUCGAUACUGCUCUGCUUGAGGACUGGAGAGGAGACUGGAAUUCACGGUGUAGCAGUGAAAUGACGUAGAUAUCGUGAGGAAGACCAGUGGGCGAAGGCGGGUCGUCUGGAC
rnacentral:rRNA from 1 species